rnacentral:lncRNA from 1 species
CUUCUUUAUGAGUAAAAAUUCAAAUUUUAAAGUCUUCAGAAGUUUGGAUGGUUCCUAUAAUCUCAUCAUCUCAAGGAAACAAUGAAGGGAGACACCAGACACCUCAAUGAAGAGGAGGGCACCAGCGGGAGGGAUGACUCCAUUAUCGUCAACGGGGCCUGCAGUGACCAGUCUUCCGACUCCAAGGACGCCCCCUCGCCCCCAAUCCUGGAGGCCAUCCGCACCCCGGAGAUCAGAGGGCGCAGAUCAAGCUCUCGACUAUCCAAGAGGGAGGUCUCCAGUCUGCUCAGUUACACUCAGGAUCUGACUGGCGAUGGAGACGGGGAUGGCAAAGGGGAAGAUGGAGAUGGCUCUGACACUCCAGUGAUGCCAAAACUCUUCCGUGAAACCAGGACUUCGCUGGAAAGCCCAGCAGUUCGAACCCGAAAUAACAGCAGUGCUUCCAGCCGGGAGAGGUACAGGCCCUCCCCACGUUCCACCCGAGGCCGGCAGGGCCGCAGUCACAUGGAUGAGACCCCCGUGGAGUUCCCAGCUACUAGGUCCCUGAGGCGACGGGCAACUGCAUCUGCAGGCACACCAUGGUCGUCUCCUGCCAGCCCUUACCUCAUCAUCGAUCUCACAGAUGACGAUGUAACACCCCAGAGCAGCAGUACCCCUUACACCAGCCUAGCCCAGGACAGCCAUCAGGACAGCUUGGAGUCCUCACAGGUGGACGCAGAGGGCAGAGAUACAGAUAGCGUGGAGUAUCAGGUACACAAAAAGAUGUGUCUGAAGACCUUAAAUAAGAGGAAAGGAAAACAAUUGCCACCUACUGUUGGUAACUUACAGUGAUAAACUGGUGCUAUAAUUUUUCUCAUUGCUAUUUUUAUUUUUUUCCUGAGACAGGGUCUUGCUAUGCAUACAAGGCUGGCUUCAAACUCAAAGGAAUCCUUCUGUCCCAACUUCCCAAGUGCUGGCCAGCUUAUUUUAUUUUUGAGACAGGGUGUCACUAU